AAACAGAAAUAAACAUAAGGGACUUCUGUUUUGUUCCCUAAUUAAGUCACCACCCUUGCUCUUUCUUCUCCUUCUUUCGAUAGAUCAACAAUCAUAGCCACUUACCAGCUUCCCCAAAUGUUACCGCCGAAGCUUCUUUCUAGGGCACGGCAGCAGCAGCAGCAGCAGCAGCAACCGCCCCCGCCGCCGAUUCAGUCGAUUCCUCUUCCUCCGCAGCAGCUGAAACCUAUGAAUCUGCCGCAGCAGCAGCCAAGGCCUCCGGUUCUGGCGUACGGUUGAUGUCUCUAAGCUCAAUCGAUCUCUAACUGCUCCUCAAUCUGCUCCUCCCUUGGUUCCCCCUCCACCAGUAUCGGAUCCUUCUCUGAGCCACGAGGCUUAGAAGGCUUAGCUCACUUCCUUGGUAUGUACGAUUCCGUUGGACACUGCGAAAGUGAGGUUUCAGCUCCAAAAGUCUGCUAUAGCUGGAGAUGUUACUCUGCCUAAGUAUCGUGGAUUGCUGGGAACUGUUGGUACCAUAGCAAGGGAAGUGUAGCUUUAAUUAUUGACGGUACCAGUCUCAUAUAUGUACUCGACAAUGAUCUUGAAGAUGUGCUCUUCCAAGUGGCAUGUAAAUGCUCUGCGAUACUCUGCUGCCGUGUUGCUCCUUUCCAUAAAGCUGGAAUCGUUGCACUUGUAAAGAACCGGACUUCCAACAUGACUCUCGCCAUUGGUGAUGGUGCCAAUGAUGUCUCCAUGAUCCAAAUGGCUGAUGUUGGGGUAGGGAUCAGUGGCCAAGAAGGUCGCCAAGCUGUGAUGGCAUCUGAUUUUGCAAUGGGACAGUUCAGAUUCUUAGUUCCGCUAUUGCUCGUCCAUGGUCACUGGAAUUAAUUUCUAUAGAAAUGCUAUCAUUAAUGCUGCUGAUUUAGCUAGUUACGAUCAAGUGAAACAUGUAUGAAAUAAACUUGAUUUCAUCCACUAAGGGACAACAAAAGUCCUACUAAUAAUCUACAAGUUUUAAAAAGUUCUUACCAUUGUCCCUAAACAUAAAAAUACUAAUAUAAUAUUGUUAAGAGCUUUUGUUUUA